CUCGAUAAUCCACGUAUACCUAACCUUCUCUAGACACACAGCAUGUGUACUGCCGUUGUAAGCAUACCUCUAAAAGCAAGUAUGCCAUAAUGACCUCAAAACUCAUAUACAUCAGGUCAAAGUGCAGCCAAUAAGAAGGUGAUGAUGGGUUACAACCCUAAAACAGACUAUUGAAUAAGACAUAAAAAAUCUUACGAAAGUGGACUUGGCCGUAAUCAAUUUACAAGUUAAAAAAAUGAAUGAUCCUCUAAGAUAUGUACACAUCGCCCGUCAUUCUACCCUAAAGGGUAGACAAGUCGUAACAAAGUAGGCGUAAUGGAAAUUGCGCCUGUCGAAGUAUAGCAUAUAUAAUGCUUUUUACUUACACUAAAAAUAAAGUUAAAUACUUACUUCGCCUAAAAAUUAUAAAUCUUAAACACCUAUUAUAUUAAAGAUAAGCCACAGAAUAAAGUACAGAAAUGGAAAUAAAAAUUAAUAAAAGUAAUUCUUAACAACUGUACCUUGUGCAUUAUGGUUUUACAAGAAAAUAAUUAAAAAUAUUAAUCCCGAAUUCUAAAUGAGCUGUUAAACUGCUGUUAAGAACUCACUAAUGGCUGUAGAAAAAGCUUUAAAAGACUGUUUAACAGAGGCUACAUACCAUCCGCAUAAGAAUAUAUCUGGUUUUCAACAAAAAUUAUUCAUUAAUCCAUGUAGUUAAACUACACUGUAAUAUUAUUGAGGAUAAGCCCAAUAAUAAAAGCAAUACUUCACGAGUCUAUUUUACUAAUUAGGCCUAAAAUCAGUCAACUAAAGUGCUUUACCGCAAUAAAUAAAGACAUAAUUAAUAAAGAAGUAUGUUAAAUAAAGUUGAAAUUGUGAGUAAAUUAUAUAGCUCACAUAUACUAUGUAAAAAUAAGUAUUAUUAAAAUAUAUUAACCUUACUCAAGUAACUAACAUCCCACAAAAAAUAAUAACUAAUUAAGGAACUCGGCAAACCAUUAUUUCGACUGUUUAACAAAAACAUUGUCUCAUGAACUAAAUAUGAGAUAA
rnacentral:rRNA from 1 species